AUCCACCCACAAUAAAUAAAGAACCCUUCUCCCCUUCCGAAACAAACCAAACCCCUCGAUCCCUUUCGCUGGUCCGUCGAAUUCCACCGGCUGGCUCCCAUCUCCGUUCUCGUCCGGCGGCAUAAAGAGGAGAGAGAGAGAGAGAGAGAGAGAGAGAGAGAGGGAUUAAGCAACGAUGUUCGAGUUCUUCAUCGUCGGGUGCACCGGAAUCGUGGUGUUCCUCCACGGAGCUAAUUUCCUCUUCCGCGUCCUCUCUCAGCAGAUCAGCGUCCGAUCCCUCAGCUUCCUGGGAUUCGUCGGAUGGUAGGAAGGAUUAGUUCGAGGAUAUGUCGGCACUCCAAUAUGUAGAAAUUUUUGAUAUAAUUAUCCACAAAAAAAUUCGCGAAGAUGCGCUAUUAAUGUAGACCUAACUGUGUAACUAAAGGAAAGGAGUUGAUUGUUUGGUCUUUCAAUGCUUUUUUUGUUUAUCUACCUACCUAUCUAUCUAUCUAUUUAUUUAUCUAAUAUUUAUUUGGUUGGA